rnacentral:rRNA from 1 species
GAUGAACGCUGGCGGCGUGCCUAAUACAUGCAAGUCGAGCGAACGGACGAGAAGCUUGCUUCUCUGAUGUUAGCGGCGGACGGGUGAGUAACACGUGGAUAACCUACCUAUAAGACUGGGAUAACUUCGGGAAACCGGAGCUAAUACCGGAUAAUAUUUUGAACCGCAUGGUUCAAAAGUGAAAGACGGUCUUGCUGUCACUUAUAGAUGGAUCCGAGCUGCAUUAGCUAGUUGGUAAGGUAACGGCUUACCAAGGCAACGAUGCAUAGCCGACCUGAGAGGGUGAUCGGCCACAUUGGAACUGAGACACGGUCCAGACUCCUACGGGAGGCAGCAGUAGGGAAUCUUCCGCAAUGGGCGAAAGCCUGACGGAGCAACGCCGCGUGAGUGAUGAAGGUCUUCGGAUCGUAAAACUCUGUUAUGAGGGAAGAACAUAUGUGUAAGUAACUGUGCACAGCUUGACGGUACCUAAUCAGAAAGCCACGGCUAACUACGUG